CAGUCGCCGCGGUAAUACGUAGGUCCCGAGCGUUGUCCGGAUUUAUUGGGCGUAAAGCGAGCGCAGGCGGUUAGAUAAGUCUGAAGUUAAAGGCUGUGGCUUAACCAUAGUACGCUUUGGAAACUGUUUAACUUGAGUGCAGAAGGGGAGAGUGGAAUUCCAUGUGUAGCGGUGAAAUGCGUAGAUAUAUGGAGGAACACCGGUGGCGAAAGCGGCUCUCUGGUCUGUAACUGACGCUGAGGCUCGAAAGCGUGGGGAGCGAACAGGAUUAGAGACCCCGGUAGUCCCUGUCUCUUAUACA
rnacentral:rRNA from 1 species